rnacentral:rRNA from 1 species
CCAGUAAACGGCGGUGGUAACUAUAACCAUCCUAAGGUAGCGAAAUUCCUUGUCGGGUAAGUUCCGACCUGCACGAAUGGCGUAACGACUUGGGCGCUGUCUCGACCACAGACUCGGCGAAAUUGCAUUACGAGUAAAGAUGCUCGUUACGCGCGGCAGGACGGAAAGACCCCGGGACCUUUACUACAGCUUGGUAUUGGUGCUCGGUUCGGCUUGUGUAGGAUAGGUGGGAGACUGUGAAGCGUUCACGCUAGUGGGUGUGGAGUCGUUGUUGAAAUACCACUCUGGUCGGAUUGGGUGUCUGAACCUCGGGCCAUGAUCUGGUUCAGGGACAGUGCCUGGUGGGUAGUUUAACUGGGGCGGUUGCCUCCUAAAGGGUAACGGAGGCGCCCAAAGGUUCCCUCAGCCUGGUUGGCAAUCAGGUGGUGAGUGUAAGUGCACAAGGGGGCUUGACUGUGAGACGGACGUGUCGAGCAGGGACGAAAGUCGGGACUAGUGAUCCGGCAUCUCCUGGUGGAAGGGGUGUCGCUCAACGGAUAAAAGGUACCCCGGGGAUAACAGGCUGAUCUUGCCCAAGAGUCCAUAUCGACGGCAUGGUUUGGCACCUCGAUGUCGGCUCGUCGCAUCCUGGGGCUGGAGUAGGUCCCAAGGGUUGGGCUGUUCGCCCAUUAAAGCGGUACGCGAGCUGGGUUUAGAACGUCGUGAGACAGUUCGGUCCCUAUCCGCCGCGCGCGUAGGAGACUUGAGGAAGGCUGUCCCUAGUACGAGAGGACCGGGACGGACGGACCUCUGGUGUGCCAGUUGUCCCGCCAGGGGCAUGGCUGGUUGGCUAUGUUCGGAAGGGAUAACCGCUGAAGGCAUCUAAGCGGGAAGCUCGUUCCAAGAUGAGGUCUCCCACCACCCUUUGGCCCGUGAGGGUUGGGGCGUGGUUAAGGCCCCCUAGAGAUGAUGGGGUUGAUAGGCCGGGGAUGGAAGCUCUGUGAGGGGUGGAGUCGACCGGUACUAAUAGGCCGAGGGCUUGCCCAC